UACGUAGGGUGCAAGCGUUGUCCGGAAUUAUUGGGCGUAAAGAGCUCGUAGGCGGCUCGUCGCGUCGACCGUGAAAACCCGCGGCUUAACUGCGGGCUUGCGGUUGAUACGGGCGGGCUAGAGUUCGGUAGGGGAGACUGGAAUUCCUGGUGUAGCGGUGAAAUGCGCAGAUAUCAGGAGGAACACCGGUGGCGAAGGCGGCCCCCUGGGCCGUACCUGACGCUGAGGCGCGAAGGCUAGGGGAGCGAACGGG
rnacentral:rRNA from 1 species